AGUAGCUCAAAGAAUAUGUGGAAGAAGAAGAGCAGAAAAACUAACAAACAAAAAUUAUGUGGGACAAGCGGCGCAUAAACAAACUGCAGGCGGUCGUGAGAGGGGAAAGAGCGACCGCACUCUCAUGUGUGAGUGUAACAGCAAGUGAGAGAGUGUGAGUGUGGAAAAGAGAGAUAUGCAUGGAAAAGUGGAGACAAUAGUCUAUUAAUAAAAGGUUAGCCAUUCCCGGAAA
rnacentral:lncRNA from 1 species